rnacentral:lncRNA from 1 species
CGGAGUCCAGGGUCCCUCUACAGCGGUUUCCCUGGGAACCACUCUGGCUGGAAAUCCUGUGGCUGCCUUUGGAGGAUGUGAACUCUCCUGGGAUGAUGUACAUUCCAAAUAGCGAGUGCACAGGCUAGACCUUCAGUGUUCAGUAACGAGACCGACCUGAUCCUGAUCAGUAGUCAGGGGUUGCCGGCAGUGGAAGAACAAAGAGAUGCUCUGUACCCACUGAAGACGAAGGCUAUGGGCUGACAAGCCUAGCAUCGGUGGUCAGCCAUUUUGCCAUUAGUGCUAUGAAGAGAAGGCCUUUUCCUCAGGACCAGAAGUGCUCUGCGCUCUGCUAUUAACCCCAUGAAAAGAGUUCUUUCCAGAUAAGCGGAUACUUGCGGCUGCGUGGAGUGGAUCCCAGUCCCAGUUUGCUACCAGCAAUCCCAACCCAAGACACAGUCGCUGUCUCCAGGUGUGCUCUAGCUUCUGUUCCCACCCACCUCUGUGUGAGGCAAGUCGAACCGCGUCAGCAGACAAGAACUGGGAAGGGUGAGCAGAUUCAGACCAGGACACCCCACAUAAGGACUGUGACAACUAGUCACAGAGCACAGAGCAUGAGUUCUCCAUGCUAAGGAGGUAUCUUAGGAUGGGCAGGCCCUGAGGGUUUAGCCAAUAAGCUUCCCUUCCAGGACAUUUCUUCCUGCAAAAGGGAUUUAAUCUCUGGUCCACCCUGAGUACGCUUUAUGCAUCCAUUUUCCAUUGCCAAUAAACAGUUUGGACAAGCAA